GGCUAUCAGUUUGAUUGUUGGUACAGUCUCAUAAAUGCUGCUGGUGGGUCAUUAUCACAUCCUGCUGGUGGAUUUGGGAUAAAAGUCCUUCAGACUGGCUGCAAACUGAUCAAACGUGCACAACCCUCGUUCUGUGGACAAUAAACGAGGUGCAGACUCCCCACUGUCACCGGUAAUGAGGAAAUUCAGUGAGUGCUGGACGGAGCGUUCACUGUGGAGGCAUGCCAGAAAAACAUUUUUUUCAUGGCUUCUACAUAACCUUGGUCUUUUCCUUACAGAAUCCUCAUUCAUCUGACGGCUGCUGUUUCUGAGUUAAUAAUUGUGGUCAUGUGAGGACGUGUUUGGGAUCAAUCCUGACUCCUGUUUCUGCAGAGGUAGCUUGAGAGAAGAGUCGGGUAGUCACUCAUCACCCCUGUGGCUCCCACUUCAAAUGCAGCCUUUAUGUCUUCAUCUUCAUUGCACACAAACAAAUGCACCUGGAAUUACAGAUACGGUGUAUGAAUCAAUGGUAAUGAGCUGUUCAGAGUCCUUGAGGCCAAACAGCUCAAAAACAUAAUUAAAAUUGUGUUAUCACCUUCUCAAACAUUGAAGAAAUAAAGCUGAGUUAAAAUCAGAGU